CGAGAUCCUCAGCACCGCCGCCAAAGAGCGAGCUGAGAGUCUCUCUGAAGGAAAGAGCUGCAAAGCUCCGACGGUGCAGCAGAGGAACCAGCUGGAGGAGCUGCGCAAGUUCGGCAAGGAGUUCAGGCUGCAGCCCGCCUCCUGUCCGUCAGCAAGCCCCGCCUCCGCCGAGCCUCCUCAGCACAGCGCCGCCCCCGCCCCGCCCAAACCUGCCUCCUCCUCCUCCGCCCAAGACCCCCACCAAGGCGUAUCCUCCGGGCCUGAGGGUCCGGCGCCGGAGGGGCAGCAGCCGACGCCCCCCGGCGGCGAAGAGCGAGGCGAGCGACCCGAAGCCGCAGCCACAGCCCAAGUGAAGAACUCCACCCUGAACCCCAACGCCAAGGAGUUCCUCCCCGUGAAGGUGCC
ensembl:lncRNA